AGGGAUCUGCUUCGCUUGAGAUUUCGAAAGAAUUUUCACUUGGCUCCUCCUCGAAAUAUCUAUGUUUUUAGAAUUAGUUUUAAUCAUCAGGCUAAGGAGGGUGGAAAAUUUUUCAUUGAAAUCUUCUUGCAUCAUUUUUAGUUCAGAUCUAAGAUCACUAAUUUCUUCAAACCUAUAUUUUUCAAGCUCUAGAAUUCUUUUGUUUAGAUUUUCAGCUUCAAAAGAGGGAAAACUAGGAUAUGCAUUGGAAUUAGCUUGAAUAACCCAGAUAGGUUCGGAAGAGCAUUUCCCGCUGUCAUAAGGCUCGCGACCGCGGUGAAACAAGUCUUGGCCGCGGUC
rnacentral:lncRNA from 1 species